UACAGGGGGGGCAAGCGUUGUUCGGCAUUACUGGGCGUAAAGGGCUCGUAGGUGGCCAACUAAGUCAGACGUGAAAUCCCUCAGCUUAACUGGGGAACUGCGUCUGAUACUGGAUGGCUUGAGUUUGGGAGAGGGAUGCGGAAUUCCAGGUGUAGCGGUGAAAUGCGUAGAUAUCUGGAGGAACACCGGUGGCGAAGGCGGCAUCCUGGACCAACACUGACACUGAGGAGCGAAAGCCAGGGGAGCAAACGGG
rnacentral:rRNA from 1 species